rnacentral:rRNA from 1 species
UACGUAGGGUGCAAGCGUUGUCCGGAAUUAUUGGGCGUAAAGAGCUCGUAGGCGGUUUGUCGCGUCUGCUGUGAAAACGCGAGGCUCAACCUCGCGCCUGCAGUGGGUACGGGCAGACUAGAGUGCGGUAGGGGAGAUUGGAAUUCCUGGUGUAGCGGUGAAAUGCGCAGAUAUCAGGAGGAACACCGGUGGCGAAGGCGGGUCUCUGGGCCGAUACUGACACUGGAGGAGCGAAAGCGUGGGGAGCGAACAGG